UACGUAGGGUGCGAGCGUUGUCCGGAAUUACUGGGCGUAAAGAGCUCGUAGGUGGUUUGUCGCGUUGUCCGUGAAAACUCACAGCUUAACUGUGGGCGUGCGGGCGAUACGGGCAGACUGGAGUACUGCAGGGGAGACUGGAAUUCCUGGUGUAGCGGUGGAAUGCGCAGAUAUCAGGAGGAACACCGGUGGCGAAGGCGGGUCUCUGGGCAGUAACUGACGCUGAGGAGCGAAAGCUAGGGGAGCGAAUGGG
rnacentral:rRNA from 1 species